ncrna:unclassified sequences Streptococcus sRNA SpF59 (ldcC RNA)
GGACCACUCUGAUUUGGAGUUAAGGCCAUACGGACAGCCGGGUCCACUGCCGA